GGCAACGUGCCAGAGUGGUUAAUGGGUCAGACUCGAACGGGUUUAGCUUGCUAGUUCCCCAGAGCUCAUCUGAUGGCUUCGGCCGCACAAGUUCGAAUCUUGUCGUUGUCG
rfam:Magnaporthe oryzae 70-15 chromosome 6, whole genome shotgun sequence.